rnacentral:rRNA from 1 species
GAUGAACGCUGGCGGCGUGCCUAAUACAUGCAAGUCGAGCGAACGGACGAGAAGCUUGCUUCUCUGAUGUUAGCGGCGGACGGGUGAGUAACACGUGGAUAACCUACCUAUAAGACUGGGAUAACUUCGGGAAACCGGAGCUAAUACCGGAUAAUAUUUUGAACCGCAUGGUUCAAAAGUGAAAGACGGUCUUGCUGUCACUUAUAGAUGGAUCCGCGCUGCAUUAGCUAGUUGGUAAGGUAACGGCUUACCAAGGCAACGAUGCGUAGCCGACCUGAGAGGGUGAUCGGCCACACUGGAACUGAGACACGGUCCAGACUCCUACGGGAGGCAGCAGUAGGAAAUCUUCCGCAAUGGGCGAAAGCCUGACGGAGCAACGCCGCGUGAGUGAUGAAGGUCUUCGGAUCGUAAAACUCUGUUAUUAGGGAAGAACAUAUGUGUAAGUAACUGUGCACAUCUUGACGGUACCUAAUCAGAAAGCCACGGCUAACUACGUGCCAGCAGCCGCGGUAAUACGUAGGUGGCAAGCGUUAUCCGGAAUUAUUGGGCGUAAAGCGCGCGUAGGCGGUUUUUUAAGUCUGAUGUGAAAGCCCACGGCUCAACCGUGGAGGGUCAUUGGAAACUGGAAAACUUGAGUGCAGAAGAGGAAAGUGGAAUUCCAUGUGUAGCGGUGAAAUGCGCAGAGAUAUGGAGGAACACCAGUGGCGAAGGCGACUUUCUGGUCUGUAACUGACGCUGAUGUGCGAAAGCGUGGGGAUCAAACAGGAUUAGAUACCCUGGUAGUCCACGCCGUAAACGAUGAGUGCUAAGUGUUAGGGGGUUUCCGCCCCUUAGUGCUGCAGCUAACGCAUUAAGCACUCCGCCUGGGGAGUACGACCGCAAGGUUGAAACUCAAAGGAAUUGACGGGGACCCGCACAAGCGGUGGAGCAUGUGGUUUAAUUCGAAGCAACGCGAAGAACCUUACCAAAUCUUGACAUCCUUUGACAACUCUAGAGAUAGAGCCUUCCCCUUCGGGGGACAAAGUGACAGGUGGUGCAUGGUUGUCGUCAGCUCGUGUCGUGAGAUGUUGGGUUAAGUCCCGCAACGAGCGCAACCCUUAAGCUUAGUUGCCAUCAUUAAGUUGGGCACUCUAAGUUGACUGCCGGUGACAAACCGGAGGAAGGUGGGGAUGACGUCAAAUCAUCAUGCCCCUUAUGAUUUGGGCUACACACGUGCUACAAUGGACAAUACAAAGGGCAGCGAAACCGCGAGGUCAAGCAAAUCCCAUAAAGUUGUUCUCAGUUCGGAUUGUAGUCUGCAACUCGACUACAUGAAGCUGGAAUCGCUAGUAAUCGUAGAUCAGCAUGCUACGGUGAAUACGUUCCCGGGUCU